GACGAACGCUGGCGGCGUGCUUAACACAUGCAAGUCGAACGGAAAGGCCCUGCUUUUGUGGGGUGCUCGAGUGGCGAACGGGUGAGUAACACGUGAGUAACCUGCCCUUGACUUUGGGAUAACUUCAGGAAACUGGGGCUAAUACCGGAUAGGAGCUCCUGCUGCAUGGUGGGGGUUGGAAAGUUUCGGCGGUUGGGGAUGGACUCGCGGCUUAUCAGCUUGUUGGUGGGGUAGUGGCUUACCAAGGCUUUGACGGGUAGCCGGCCUGAGAGGGUGACCGGCCACAUUGGGACUGAGAUACGGCCCAGACUCCUACGGGAGGCAGCAGUGGGGAAUAUUGCACAAUGGGCGGAAGCCUGAUGCAGCAACGCCGCGUGCGGGAUGACGGCCUUCGGGUUGUAAACCGAUUUCGACUGUGACGAAGCGUGAGUGACGGUAAUGGGUAAAGAAGCACCGGCUAACUACGUG
rnacentral:rRNA from 1 species